rnacentral:rRNA from 1 species
UGCCUACGGGGCGCAGCAGUGGGGAAUAUUGGGCAACGGGCGCAAGCCUGACCCAGCGACGCCGCGUGAGGGAAGACGGUCUUCGGAUUGUAAACCUCUUUCAGCAGGGAAGACAAAAGGACGGUACCUGCAGAGGAAGCCACGGCUAACUACGUGCCAGCAGCCGCGGUAAUACGUAGGUGGCAAGCGUUAUCCGGAAUUACUGGGUGUAAAGGGUGUGUAGGCGGGUUUGCAAGUCAGAUGUGAAAAUUAUGGGCUCAACCCAUAAACUGCGUCUGAAACUACAGAUCUUGAGAGUGGGAGAG